UACAGAGGGGGCAAGCGUUGUUCGGAAUUACUGGGCGCAAAGGGCUCGUAGGCGGCCAACUAAGUCGGACGUGAAAUCCCUCAGCUUAACUGGGGAACUGCGUCCGAUACUGGAUGGCUUGGAUUUGGGAGAGGGAUGCGGAAUUCCAGGUGUAGCGGUGAAAUGCGUAGAUAUCUGGAGGAACACCGGUGGCGAAGGCGGCAUCCUGGACCAACAUUGACGCUGAGGAGCGAAAGCUAGGGGAGCAAACGGG
rnacentral:rRNA from 1 species